CUUUCCGUUAACAGAGCGCCUACUCGUACUUUAUAGACGCUAUUUAUCCCUCUUCAUGUGAAAUUCUGUCACGAAUUUUAGAGCGAGUAAUUAACAAUGUGGAAGCAGGCUCCCCCCUCCGCGGAGAAAUGGCUCGGGUCCUGCCUCGAGCCCCGCCGCACGUAAACAUUUGGGAGAGGGCGGUCAGGGUGGUAAGAGCGCUCUCAUACGGACGGUGCAAAACGGUGGAAAAGUCUACCGGCUCCCCAGGUGGACUUAAAUGCCACCAGACCCUGCUUGUUGCCUAUCUGCCACCGAGGUCAGCAAUCCCCCCCCUCUCUGGAAGACAUGCCUCAGUCAAGGGAGAGUGGUUGCUCCUCUCAGAGUACAGCAACUUGGAGAUGAAACAAGUCCUUCUCAUGGUGAAAACAAAGCUUUAUUACUAGUACCUGUCCUGCUCCACUGGAUUACAAACGUGGGAAAGCUGAUUUCAAUCUUCAUGCCAGCAGCAUCCACAGUCUGUACUGCCUGGCAAGCAGCUACUCCUUCAGCCAGCAAGUAUUAUGCUUCCUCUUCUCUUGUCCCUGUGAUUGGGAAAAAAUCUGUGACAAAAAAACUGAAGGCAUUGAUUUCACUAUUCUUUUCCAAUUAUUUUCCCAUAAUGCCUAUAAAGACUAUACCGUGAUAAUUUUUAGCAAAUUACGACGUUAUGCAUAACUAUUUCUUUUUUAACUGUUGCUUUGUUGCCCCUGUCCUUGCAUCCACCUUUUCUAUUUCAUUUGCUUGUAUAUUACAGUGAUUAUUUCCUCUUGAAAUAACUAUCCUCUUUAUUUCUCCUUAUUUUUACUUAUAAUUAGUUCAUCACCUGUCCCUCGAGGACCAUGAUCUACCAUUGAGUGGUAGGUAAACCAAAUAAUAAUAGUGAACAAGAGCAGAAAUGCUUUGUUGGUUUCAGCAGAACUCCAAAUUAUGCUUUACAUGAUUUUAAUAUCUGGUCUCAAAACUUCCUUAAUCAUACUUCUUUUGGGGCAUCUGCAAUGGUUUUCUGGGGUUAAAGCUAGUAAGUUUGGGUACAUAAGCACUUAGUUCAAUUUGGUUCUAAUUAGUAAAAUCUGUAAAUCCUAAAGUCAUAUAGAAUCAUAAAAUCAUUAAGGUUGGAAAAGACAUCUAAAAUUACAUAAGGAAAAAAAAUAAAAAAUAAAAGUGUUUCUCCCUAGAAAAGCAGCACACAUUUGAAAGCACACCUUGAUAAACUCUGUCGGACUUAAUUUACCAUCUUUAUCUCCUGAUUUUCUCAAUGUUUGUAAUCCUGUUCGUUUAGGGUGGUAUUUCUUUAAAAAAGUGCUUACUACAACAGUGUUCUAUCAGUAGGUCAAGGUAUUCAUGCUAAUGUUAAUUAUUCCCUCAGCAGUAUCAAAUUAAUGAAAGGCACACCUGGGUUUUUCAGUUUUCAAGCAACUAUCUCACAGGGCUUUGGUCUGUACUGCAAAACAGUCUCAGAGAAUGCUAGUAGGUUUUAAUUUAGAUGAAACUGAAUGAGGACGUGCGGGCCAGUGCACCUACUGCACUUUAACUACUGUUACAACUGUGAACGAAUAUGAUUAAUUUAAUCUUGAUUUUCCUAGCAUUUUUUCAUGUUUAUUUGAAGGAAUACAAACUUUUCUACCUCAUUUUCCUGCAUUAUUUCCAUUGGAUGUAAGCAACUGUCAUAGUAGUUUAUAAAAAAUUGUAGUCUCUUGUAAAGAAAGACAAAAAGAAACCUUUACUUCAGAAAAUGCCUGAAUCAGAGGUUGUGGUAUUUAGUCUUUUUUUUUUUUUUUUUUUCCUCUAAUGUUAAAAUGUUCCUAAUGAUAAAAUUCAUUUACUAAUGCUUAACUGAUGUUAUACUUUGAAAGUAUUAUUUCAACAUUUAUCCAUUCAUCCCUGCAAUGAUUUUGGCUACUCAAAAAUAAAGAACAUUGUUAUAGGUAUUAACAGUUGAAAUUAAGAUUGCAAGGCUGUGAGCUGAGAGGAAGAAAUGAUUUCAGUUCCCAUAUUCUUUGUUUUCCAUCGGGUAUAGAGAAAAGUUUGUAGUUCAUGCACAGUCGAUUAAUUGUCACCAUUAAACUUCAUCAGUUCCAUCACAUUUAAAAUAUCAGUUCCACCAAUACAUACUAAACCGAAGGACAGCCAUUUUAAAUACUGUUUUUUAGUGUAGGAAACACAUUUUUAUUUUUGAUGACUGUAUUUUUUACAGUGCUUUGAAAUGAUUUUGGCAUGAAAGGUACUAUGGAGAUAAAGAUGACGUGUUUUCCUUCUGUUACUGUAGUCAUCUCAAUUUACUUAGACUGACAUCAUUGUUAUUGUGGGAUGGGAAAGAAAAUCCAUUGAAGAUAAAAGACUGAAUCCAUGUCAUGACAAAUGAGGUUAUGAAAUGUAAUUACUUUGCAUGCUCAGUAAUAGUUUUCCAAAUGUACACAUACAAAUAUUUUUUAAUACAGUUUAAAUGGCUCUAUCUGUUAACUGCUUGAAAAUGUUACUACUUAAAUGUAAGUUCAAAACAGGGGUUUAUUUUCAACUCGGCAGGAAAAAGCAGAAAUGUGGAAAUCUAUACACUGCUUUUAGAAAAUAAUUUUUAAAAAUAAUCUGUACUAAUAUUAUAUUAUCAUAUUAUUCAUGAAGCCCUAGACUAUUAUAGAGUAUUGGUAUAUUACAGACUGCAUUGUGGACUUUAAAAUAGAAAGGCAACAUGGCUUUAAUUGCAAGAACGUUCCAUGCAUUAUUAUAAUAACAAUUUGCUCUGUGAUUCUCUUCCCAGUCAUUAAAUCUGUCAGUCUAUAGCAGUGGAUAGGUGCAUUUGUAAUAAUAUAUUACUUUUAUUUAACACCUCUAAACCAGAAUGUAGUUUUCUUAUUCCUAAUAGAGAAUAAUAAGUUCAAUAGCAAUAGAUGUAGGCACUUUUGGGAUAAAAUAUGACAAUGUAACCAAAGGAAGCAAUGCUACUUAGGUGUCUUUAAUACAUCAAUAAAGAUGCUUGUAGCAUGCAUCAAAAACUGCAGAAAGAGUUUUGGUAGAAGUGAUCUAAUUACUUGGGAUAGAAUAUAAUGAAAUCACAAAAAGGUAUCAUUCUGUUCUUAAUGAUAAAGUUAGCUUUAAUUGCAAAAGAAACAGGGAUGUCAAAGAAAAUACAAACA